UACGAAGGGGGCUAGCGUUGCUCGGAAUCACUGAGCGUAAAGCGCACGUAGGCGGAUUGUUAAGUCAGGGGUGAAAUCCUGGAGCUCAACUCCAGAACUGCCUUUGAUACUGGCGAUCUCGAGUCCGGGAGAGGUGAGUGGAACUCCGAGUGUAGAGGUGAAAUUCGUAGAUAUUCGGAAGAACACCAGUGGCGAAGGCGGCUCACUGGCCCGGUACUGACGCUGAGGUGCGAAAGCGUGGGGAGCAAACAGG
rnacentral:rRNA from 1 species